UACGGGGGGAGCAAGCGUUGUUCGGAUUUACUGGGCGUAAAGGGCGCGUAGGCGGCCACCGCAAGUCAGUUGUGAAAUCUCUGGGCUUAACCCAGAACCGGUCAGCUGAUACUGCGGGGCUAGAGUGCAGAAGGGGCAACUGGAAUUCUCGGUGUAGCGGUGAAAUGCGUAGAUAUCGAGAGGAACACCUGCGGCGAAGGCGGGUUGCUGGGCUGACACUGACGCUGACAGCGCGAAAGCUAGGGGAGCGAACGGG
rnacentral:rRNA from 1 species